rnacentral:tRNA from 1 species
GUGUGCGUAAUUUAAACAAAAUAUCAAGUUGUGACCCUGACAAUAGG